ensembl:snRNA U2 U2 spliceosomal RNA
AUAGUUUCUCAGCCUUUUGGCUAAGAUCAAGUGUAAUAUCUAUUCCUAGCAGUUUAAAACAGAAAAAUCAGUGGGCGCCUGGGUGGCUCAGUCAGUUAAGCAUCUGAAUCUUGAUUUCUGCUCAGGUCAUGAUCUCACGACUCCAGAGUUCAAGCCCUCCCAUUGCACUCUGGACUGAUAGUGUGGAGCCUGC